rnacentral:rRNA from 1 species
UACGUAGGGGGCAAGCGUUGUCCGGAAUUAUUGGGCGUAAAGCGCGCGCAGGCGGCUUCUUAAGUCUGAUGUGAAAGCCCACGGCUCAACCGUGGAGGGUCAUUGGAAACUGUGAAGCUUGAGUGCAGAAGAGGAGAGUGGAAUUCCACGUGUAGCGGUGAAAUGCGUAGAUAUGUGGAGGAACACCAGUGGCGAAAGCGGCUCUCUGGUCUGUAACUGACGCUGAGGCGCGAAAGCGUGGGGAGCAAACAGG